AACGAACGCUGGCGGCAUGCCUAACACAUGCAAGUCGAACGAGACCUUCGGGUCUAGUUGCGCACGGGUGCGUAACGCGUUGGAACCUUCCUUUAUGUUCGGAAUAACUCAGAGAAAUUUGUGCUAAUACCGGAUGAUGUCUUCUGACCAAAGAUUUAUCGCCUUUAGAUGGGCCCGCGUUGGAUUAGCUUGUUGGUGGGGUAAAGGCCUACCAAGGCGAGGAUCCAUAGCUGGUCUGAGAGGAUGAUAAGACACACUGGGACUGAGACACGGACGAGACUAGGACGGGAGGAAGCAGUGGGGAAUAGAGGAAAAUGGGGGAAAGGAUGAACAAGCAAGGACGGGUGAGAGAUGAAGGCAUUAGGGAUGUAAAGCAAUUUUAAACGAGAAGAUAAUGACAGUAACGGGAGAAUAAGCGCCGGCUAACUACGUG
rnacentral:rRNA from 1 species